UGCCCCUUGAAUUUUCCAUUUAUAGAAACUAAAAAAAAAAUCCAAAUAUUUUGAUUUAUCUUUCCAAAUAUAGAACACCAAGAUUGUCCUAAAUAUCCACUUAAACUCCAAGAAACAUUACCGCUGCACUGAAAUUUCCAAGAGCGAGAGAGAGAGAUUAAAGACUGAAAAUUUCAGAUCCCAAAAGAAACAGAAAACUGCUUUGGAUGGCAAUUUAUGGAUCUGGGUUAGUGUAAGGAUGGUCAGCUAGUUUUGCAUAGAUGCAAUCCAGGUUGAUAUCUUUUAAUGGUCUAAGAUCUAAAACAGAAUAUAAAAAUGGUUGCUUUUCUUACACUAUAUUAAUGCAAGCAAGGAAGGGAGAAAGACCAAUCACAGACACAGCUGUAUAAGCGCACGAACUUUGAAAGUCUUUGAAACCGCGUUU
rnacentral:misc_RNA from 1 species